GAAAAUCUGGAAUGUGCGUCUAUUCUCUGUAAAUUCAACCGACAUAAUGAAUUAGGGAGUCUGAUUGUAUACUUGUCAAAUGACCUGCCUCCUUUGAGUGGACUUCAGAGGCAAGUAACGAGACACCCACCUGAGCUUAGCUCGGGCUUGAAUUUAUGAGAUUCCAACGGCAUUUCGGAUUUUUU
rnacentral:other from 1 species